rnacentral:rRNA from 1 species
GCCUACGGCCAUACCACCCUGAAUACGCCUGAUCUCAUCUGAUCCUGGAAGCUAAGCAGGGUCGGGCCUGGUUAGUACUUGGAUGGGAUUACAUUCCUGUUCAGGCAUUUGGUGGUUCCGAGUACUGAAGGUA